UACAGAGGUCCCAAGCGUUAGGCGGAAUCACUGGGCUUAAAGCGCGUGUAGGCGGAUCGUUAAGUGCCUUGUGAAAUCCCAACGGCUCAACCGUGGAACUGCUUGGCAUACUGGCGGUCUUGAGUCACCUAGGGGCCUGCGGAACAAACGGUGGAGCGGUGAAAUGCGUAGAUAUCGUUUGGAACGCCAACGGUGAAAACAGCAGGCUGGGGGUGUACUGACGCUGAGACGCGAAAGCCAGGGGAGCAAACGGG
rnacentral:rRNA from 1 species